UACAGAGGGUGCGAGCGUUAAUCGGAAUUACUGGGCGUAAAGCGCACGUAGGCGGCUACUUGAUUGACAGGGGUGAAAUCCUGGAGCUCAACUCCAGAACUGCCUUUGAUACUGGCGAGCUUGAGUCCGGGAGAGGUGAGUGGAACUGCGAGUGUAGAGGUGAAAUUCGUAGAUAUUCGCAAGAACACCAGUGGCGAAGGCGGCUCACUGGCCCGGUACUGACGCUGAGGUGCGAAAGCGUGGGGAGCAAACAGG
rnacentral:rRNA from 1 species